AGGCUGUGGUUUUCGAGGGGAAAAGGGAGAGUGGCUGGUCCUGCCUCCGCUGCCGCUUGGCCCUGAGAUCCCCACUGCCCACGGGAUAGGCCCCAGUCCACCCAGGGCCCCCCCUUCCCCUCGUCUCGCUCUCCUUGGCAGUUCGGGCUUCGUGUCAGUCCCACACUCGCGCCCGGCUGUCCCUGCUGCGCUCCUGUCACUGGCAUUGGGAAGCCCUCCGGCCCCCUCUCUGCACACCUGGCACCACACGGCUCCUCCCUGGCGGCAAGGUCUGUUUCCCUCUUAGUAAUGGAUGGAGAAACUUCUCAUAGUUGGUGAGGGAUCAGUCAUAAAAACUUCGCCUGGAAGAUUAAUGUAAUAAUCACAGGCCUUGCUGGAAAAAAUAGGAGGAAAAUUAAAAUAAUCCCACCUUCCUACCUAUCCAGAACCAUCUCCCUCACUUAGGAGCACAGACCAGCGAACUGGGCCAUCUCUCUGGGCACCACCUCAGCUAGGAUAUUUGAGGGGCAGGAACCAGGGGUCUGUGGCCUAGGAAGAGCAAGACCACGGUCCCCUCCUCACCUGGCUGAUCUGGAUGUUGGUACCU
rnacentral:antisense_RNA from 1 species